GGCCUAUUAGCUUAGUUGGUUAGAGCAUCAUGCUAAUAGUGUGAAGGUUGCAGGUUCAAGACCUGCAUGGGCCA
rfam:Ipomoea nil DNA, scaffold: scaffold3227, cultivar: Tokyo-kokei standard.